AAAGUACAAGAACUGAGCAAGAAAUCUCGACUGCAUAAGAUAUUUGAUGCCCAAAUUUUCACACAACUACAAUGAACAGAUGGUGAUUUUAAGAAACUAGGAAAGAACAGUAUAUAUUUUGGAUGUUUGUCAUGCAAUUCCUUGUAUUCUGCAAUUAGGGUGUCGAUUGUUGGCGUAAAAGAUGUCUUUUUAGAAUGCAUCAACAAUCAAGGCAGAACGAAUAAUAAUUACAAAAUAAUUUUUUUUAAUACUGAAUGUAAUAAACUACAAACAAGUAAUAAAAUAUAUGAUGUUUUAAUUUCA